rnacentral:rRNA from 1 species
AGAGUUUGAUCCUGGCUCAGGAUGAACGCUGGCGGCGUGCCUAAUACAUGCAAGUCGAGCGAACCACUUCGGUGGGAAGCGGCGAACGGGUGAGUAACACGUAGGUGAUCUGCCCAUCAGACGGGGACAACGAUUGGAAACGAUCGCUAAUACCGGAUAGGACGAAAGUUUAAAGAUGCUCCUGGCAUCACUGAUGGAUGAGCCUGCGGCGCAUUAGCUAGUUGGUGGGGUAAAGGCCUACCAAGGCGACGAUGCGUAGCCGACCUGAGAGGGUGAACGGCCACACUGGGACUGAGACACGGCCCAGACUCCUACGGGAGGCAGCAGUAGGGAAUCUUCGGCAAUGGGCGAAAGCCCGACCGAGCAACGCCGCGUGAAUGAAGAAGGCCUUCGGGUUGUAAAAUUCUGUUAUAAGGGAAGAAAGGUGAUAGGAGGAAAUGACUAUCAAUUGACGGUACCUUAUGAGAAAGCCACGGCUAACUACGUG